GGAUGGGUGGCCGAGUGGACGAAGGCGGCAGUCUUGAAAACUGCUGUACCCUCACGGGUACCGGGGGUUCGAAUCCCUCCCCAUCCG
rnacentral:tRNA from 1 species